AACUUGCAACAAAAUGUGGCAGGCAUCCUCACUUCUAAAAUGAGUACGGGAUCCCAGCCAACCAUUAUCUCCCAUCACCCAAUGUUCCAACUUUCUUUCCCCUUAUGUUACUCCUCAUUCCAUGUCUACUGAGCAUGCUCAAUCCACAAUGGGCUUUUGUUGGUGUUCCUCCUCCCCUGUGUGUCCCCCCUGUCCUUUCAGCUUGUUCAUGUUUGGGGAGGAAAUGUACUUCUGCAAACCCCAGGGUUUCCUCAAGCAUGCAAGUAUCUCCCCCUUGUAUCUUAGUGAUUCUACUUUGGUGGCACUUGCUGCUUGAGUUCAUUAUUAGGAGUGAUUGUGAGAGGAGUGCCUCACUUUUUAAAAUGCAAGAUUUUGAGAGCAAUCUGUUCCUCAGAAAAUACUUGCACUGUAUAAUAGCUCACACAAAAAGAUAAAAGCCACAUGCAGAGGCCUCUUCUGCUUGGUCUGCUAUGUGGUUCGUUAUCGAAUCCUCAAAUUCUGACCACAUUAAGAGAAAGUGGAGCGGGUGUUAAUGAGGCCUACCCGGACUCUGGCUUCAGUCAAGUUGGUCCAGACAGCAAUUUCCUCCCGGGUGCUCAUGUCCGGAUAGCGGUUCCUCUGGAAAGUGGCUUCCAGCUCCUGGAGUUGUUGGCUAGUGAAGUGAGUUCUCUGCCUGCGCUGCUUCUUUUUCAAGGAGCCAUCCUCAGGAUUGGAGUCAUCAGUCUGGUUCUGCUGUGACUUUUCUGUGUCUGUGAAAGCAAAAGCAAGAGCACAGAUUUGUUGUAAUAUACUGUAUUACUGACUCACAAUUGCGUGCAAGAAAGGGUUAACCUGAGCUCAGGUUGCCAGUGUGGGCGGAGCUUAGCAGGCUCUUAGUCUUUUCUCUUCCUGCUUCCUGGAACUAGCAAGAAGAACCAAAUCUCUCAAAAAAUGAGAUUUCGAAGCCUGUAUCUUUACUAACCCAAAGAUUGCAUGAUCCUUUUUUGUAAAGAAACAAAAUACUUUUAUUUUUAAGUCAUUUGGAAGCUUUUUCAUCUCUGAUUUACUGCCAGUGGUUGGAGACUUAUUUGCUGUAACUUCUGGAAACUUUCUGUGCUCAUGUUGUGGUGUCCCCGACUCUGAGAGGGAGAGAUUGGGACUGUGGGCCUCUGAAUCAGUGAGCAAGUUGAACUCCAUCGGCCUGGAAUAGGAACCGGAGAAGAGCUGAAAAAGAGGCCCAAGUGAUGUCUGAGUGGCGUAUAUGAUUAGCAGCUUCCUAGUUUUCAAACGACUGAAGAUUUUGACAGAUCCUUCUGAGCCCUUGGGGUCAAAAGAAAGUAAUUUGAAACAACUGUUGUUGAGACACUUCAUUCUGAAUCUGCUAGACCGAGGAUAGUGACAGAUCCACUAUUGGGAGAACCGACUGCGGCCCAAACGGCUUCCCGCACCCCUACCCCCUGAUCCGAAGCGAGGCGGCGGGGCUGCUCCCUUGUUUGUCCUGAGCUGGGCGGCCAGAAGGCGUCCAAGCAUCGCCGCCACUGCGCACACGCGGUUCUGUGGUGGCGCCCCGAUGGCAACUACUGUACUAAGACUUCUAAAUGCUACGGUGCUUUCUUACGGUGUUUUAUAAGCAAAAGUCUGCACAACAGAAGCGAGGAAGGAAUUGCGAAAAAAGCGAUUAGACAGCGGGGGCCGGCUUUCCCCCCCCGGCCCCCUUUUCCAACGCACAGCGUGGAGAGUUGGGUGGCUACUGGGAGGGAGUCCAGCUUGUGCGCGAAUAGUCCGCCGAGUAUUUGGCGUUUUCAGCCCAGACUAGAUGCUGCGCUUUUCUUCCCCGAGUCACAGUUUGCUUGUGGCACCGACUUAGCAAUGCCUGCUGGUUUCCCUUUCUGAUCAUAAUGGGGGGGGGGGUCAUUUGUAAAGAGCACUGGUGAUCAAGUGCCAAGUAAGCCCUGAUAAACUAAAACCACACAGUAAACUUAUGCACAAUAUUCGUGGGGUGGGGGAGAAACGGUUAUUAUGGACAUAUUUUUAGCCUACUUAUGGUUUUACUAUGGACAUAGAACUUUGCAUAUCGUUGCAUUCCGAGUAAGAAAAGACGCAAAAACUGAAAAUUUACUUUAGUGUCACGAAUGUGCAAAUUACUGCAUUCUGUUUUGUUGAAUUAUAAUUGCGAUUAUUUUAAAUAAAGGACAAACGUAUUGAUAUUGUGGUUUAUUUUGAUGCAUUUACAUCUUCCUA